rnacentral:miRNA from 1 species
AUCGAUCGAUCGAAGACGCGGU